rnacentral:rRNA from 1 species
AUUGUACAGCGAAACUGCGAAUGGCUCAUUAAAUCAGUUAUCGUUUAUUUGAUGGUUCCUUACUACUCGGAUAACCGUGGUAAUUCUAGGGCUAAUACGUGCUGAAAGCCGCGACCCUCCGGGGGAGCGGUGCGUUUAUUAGACCAAAGACCAGCGCCCUUCGGGGCCGCCCGGUGAUUCAUGGUAACCUGACGGACCGCACGGCCUCCGCGCCGGCGGUGGAUCAUUCAAAUUUCUGCCCUAUCAACUUUCGACUUUAGUGCAGUGGACUAAAGUGGUUGCAACGGGUAACGGAGGGUUAGGGCUCGACCCCGGAGAAGGAGCCUGAGAAACGGCUACUACAUCCAAGGAAGGCAGCAGGCGCGCAAAUUACCCAAUCCCGACGCGGGGAGGUAGUGACGAUAAAUACCGAUGCAGGGCUCUUUCGGGUCUUGCAAUUGGAAUGAGUACAAUCUAAAUCCCUUAACGAGGAACAACUAGAGGGCCAGUCUGGUGCCAGCAGCCGCGGUAAUUCCAGCUCUAGUAGCGUAUAUUAAAGUUGUUGUGGUUAAAAAGCUCGUAGUUGAAGCUAGGCCCCGCGGCGCCGGUCCGCCUCACCGCGUGCACUGGCGUUUCCCGCGGGGCCCUCCCCGGGGGAACCGCAUGCCCUUCGCUGGGCGUGCGCGGAACCCGGACUUUUACUGUGAAAAAAUUAGAGUGUUCAAAGCAGGCGCGUUUUGCUCGGAUACAUUAGCAUGGAAUAAUGAAAUAGGACGCUGCGGCUCCAUUUUCGUUGGUUAUGGGACCGCCGUAAUGAUUGAUAGGGACAGUCGGGGGCGUCAGUAUUCGGCAGUCAGAGGUGAAAUUCUUGGACCUGCCGAAGACUAGCUACUGCGAAAGCAUUCGCCAAGGAUGUUUUCAUUAAUCAGGAACGAAAGUUAGGGGAUCGAAGACGAUCAGAUACCGUCGUAGUCUUAACCAUAAACUGUGCCGACUAGGGAUCGGGCGGUGCUUUUAGUGGCCCGCUCGGCACCUAUCGAGAAAUCAAAGUCUGUGGG